rnacentral:rRNA from 1 species
AGAGUUUGAUCCUGGCUCAGAAUGAACGCUGGCGGCGUGCUUAACACAUGCAAGUCGUACGAGAAAUCUUUAGCUUGCUAAAGAUAGUAAAGUGGCGCACGGGUGAGUAACGCGUGGGUAAUCUACCUUCGAAUCGGGGAUAACUCCGCGAAAGCGGGGCUAAUACCGGAUAAUAUUCUUAAGACUUAGGUCUUUUGAAUCAAAGGUGGUCUCUACAUGUAAACUACUGUUUGAAGAUGAGCUCGCGUACCAUUAGCUUGUUGGUAGGGUAAUGGCCUACCAAGGCUACNAUGGUUAGCUGGUCUGAGAGGAUGAUCAGCCACACUGGAACUGACACACGGUCCA